GCUCAGGAUGAACGCUGGCGGCGUGCCUAAUACAUGCAAGUCGAGCGAACAGACGAGGAGCUUGCUCCUCUGACGUUAGCGGCGGACGGGUGAGUAACACGUGGAUAACCUACCUAUAAGACUGGGAUAACUUCGGGAAACCGGAGCUAAUACCGGAUAAUAUGUUGAACCGCAUGGUUCAACAGUGAAAGACGGUCUUGCUGUCACUUAUAGAUGGAUCCGCGCCGCAUUAGCUAGUUGGUAAGGUAACGGCUUACCAAGGCAACGAUGCGUAGCCGACCUGAGAGGGUGAUCGGCCACACUGGAACUGAGACACGGUCCAGACUCCUACGGGAGGCAGCAGUAGGGAAUCUUCCGCAAUGGGCGAAAGCCUGACGGAGCAACGCCGCGUGAGUGAUGAAGGUCUUCGGAUCGUAAAACUCUGUUAUUAGGGAAGAACAAAUGUGUAAGUAACUAUGCACGUCUUGACGGUACCUAAUCAGAAAGCCACGGCUAACUACGUGCCAGCAGCCGCGGUAAUACGUAGGUGGCAAGCGUUAUCCGGAAUUAUUGGGCGUAAAGCGCGCGUAGGCGGUUUUUUAAGUCUGAUGUGAAAGCCCACGGCUCAACCGUGGAGGGUCAUUGGAAACUGGAAAACUUGAGUGCAGAAGAGGAAAGUGGAAUUCCAUGUGUAGCGGUGAAAUGCGCAGAGAUAUGGAGGAACACCAGUGGCGAAGGCGACUUUCUGGUCUGUAACUGACGCUGAUGUGCGAAAGCGUGGGGAUCAAACAGGAUUAGAUACCCUGGUAGUCCACGCCGUAAACGAUGAGUGCUAAGUGUUAGGGGGUUUCCGCCCCUUAGUGCUGCAGCUAACGCAUAAGCACUCCGCCUGGGAG
rnacentral:rRNA from 1 species